UACAGAGGUCUCAACCGUUGUUCGGAUUCAUUGGGCGUAAAGGGUGCGUAGGCGGCGGGGUAAGUCAGGUGUGAAAUCUCGGGGCUCAACCCCGAAACUGCACUUGAUACUGCCUCGCUUGAGUACUGGAGAGGAGACUGGAAUUUACGGUGUAGCAGUGAAAUGCGUAGAUAUCGGGAGGAACACCUGUGGCGAAAGCGGCUCACUGGACCAUUACUGACGCUGAUGCACGAAAGCUAGGGGAGCAAACAGG
rnacentral:rRNA from 1 species